rnacentral:rRNA from 1 species
GACGAACCGUACGAACGUUAUUCGGAAUCACUGGGCUUAAAGGGUGCGUAGGCGGCGGUGCAAGUUGGGUGUGAAAUCCCUCGGCUCAACCGAGGAACUGCGCCCAAAACUGCGUCGCUUGAGGAAGAUAGAGGUGAGUGGAACUUAGGGUGGAGCGGUGAAAUGCGUUGAUAUCCUAAGGAACACCAGUGGCGAAAGCGACUCACUGGGUCUUCUCUGACGCUGAGGCACGAAAGCUAGGGUAGCGAACGGG